CGGGCGGUGGCCGAGCUGGCACAGCGCCGCGCUCACGACGACGACGAGCGGCAGCGGGAUGGCGUCAAGUGCAAACGGGUAUUGCUGGUUUCUCCAAAAAGUCCCACCGCAGACGCUGAGGUCGGCGUUGGGGAGUCGCCGCGACCCCGGCUGGGCGUGACUCCGCUGCAGCUGCCGCCAGCUGCCAGCGACGCC